AAAGAAAAACAGAGAUUCGAUUUCUUAUCCGACGGAGAGGUCUGAACUGAGGUGAACAACAAAACAACCACCGAAAAUGUCGGCAGCGCUUCCUCCUACAGCUUCAUCUACCAAACUACCAACAACUUCCUUACCAUUCUCACGCGCACUCCUCCACGUGCUCCCCAAACCCCAAUUUUCCUUCACCCCACGCGCCACUCCUGACUCAGACUCAUCCUCAACGAAACCCGAAUCAUCGUCGUCGUCGUCGUCGUCCUCCUCCUCCUCUUCCACCUCGCCUGACUCCGACCCAUUCGAAUCCCGCCUCUCCCGAGUUCGCUUCCGUUACCGAAGUGGAACCGGCAAAAAAGCGCAGCUCCGAAAAUCAAGGAAAUCCGGAUCAGUAUCCGGAUCCACUUCCUCCUCCUCCUCUAUCUACCUCCCUCCAGUGCCUUUAAAAGAAGCGAUUUCGAAUGGGUUAAAAGUGGAUUUCGGGUUUAGCCCAUACAGCGAGAGAAUAAACGGGCGCAUCGCUAUUCUGGGGUUGACCGCUUUGGUUUUGGUGGAAUUGGCUACUGGUAAGAGCGUGAUAAGUUAUCAUACGCCGGCGAUUAUUUUAAUUCAGAUUUAUUUUGUUGCGGCGGUCGGGGCUUUGUUUGUCAAAUAUGAGAAAGAAAAAGUUAGUGUUUGGCCACCUCCUCAAUCUUCAUCACCCAAAACUUGAAUUCUUUCAAAUUUUUGGGAUGGAACAUGGACAACAAGAUGUCGAUUUCGAAUGAGUUCUUGUUACACCAGGAUUUUUAGAGGAGCUGCAUGCCCUUGUGCAGAAGGAUCCUUAAUUGAAGAUGAUUGUGAUUUGUGUGGAUCAUAGCAAUUUGUGGAGUCCUGUUGUGUGUUGCUUGUGUUUGAAG